GUUUGCAUGUUCUCCCCGUGCUGCGGGGGUUUUCUCCGGGUACUCCGGUUUCCUCCCCCAGUCCAAACACAUGCAUGGUAGUCUGAUUGGUGUGUCUAAAGUGUGUAUGCUAUAAUAAAAAACAACUACAGUUCUGCCGCUGUGUUUCAAAAAUGAGGUAAAUCCGCGGAUCUGGCAACUCGCACAUCCCGUGACUCCCACAUGUUUAUUAAACCUGCUUAUUUUGUAAUAUUUAUUACACCGAAUCAUGAGCAGAAACCUUGUUUGUUUGUUUUUCCUCAUAGCACGAUCACGCAAAACCACGCGCGUUUGUUAUAUUCGUGUGUUUUUUUUCGGUUUCUCACGCGGACAGACCGAGUUGUUUACCUCUUCGCUCCGUGACGUCACGACACACCCCUUGUGCGCGUACGUGUGUAUGUGUGUGUAUAUGUGUGUGAGAGAGAGAGUGAGAGAGAGAGAGAGUGUGUGUCGUCCCAAACGUCGGAACAGUGCGCGUGUGGCGUGGCAAUGGGGUCUCGCGCAUAAACCCCUAAAAAAACAAACAAAAAAAAACAACCAUAACAGCCAGGAGCGCGCGCGGCGUGUCCGUGGGUUACUGCGCGAGGAGCCGAGGCGGGGCGUUAUUACAACCGACCCCCUUUCCCCCGUUUCUCUCUCUAUCUCUACUGGGGUCCAAGUUCAAAGUUUGUACGUGUUUUCUUUUUUUCUUCCUCCGCUCUACGUACCGGAAAGCAGGCGCGCGCUCUGUUUUAUUUGAUCGCACGCGGAUAAGAUCGGUCUGACGCGUCUCCGCGUUUCUUCUCCUCCACGCCUCGGUGUGUGCUCGCGCUGGCGAUAAACGCACGCGCACAUCCAUACAUACACAUGAACACACGCGUUUGCGAAAAAAAAGAAAAGAGGAAAGUUCCGGGGAAGCGGAGUGGAGAGAGUAACGAGCAAGCGCGAGGAGGAGACAGAAGAAGAAAAACACACACACACACACACGGGAUAAAGAGAAAGUUGCACGGUCCGGAACUGAAGUGGAUUAAAGUGGAGCCACGAGACAUCAACAACAACGAGACCGCAAACAAAAGCGCUGCACAAGAUUGCUAACGAUAAAUAAACAACAACAACAACAAUAAUAACCCCGCUCGAGCGUGCGCGCGCGUCCCUACUGCGCUUUCCGUCUUCUUUUUAUUACCUGGCACGCGCUGAAUAGUAUCCUAACUUUACUAUCCUAAACACGAGGAACUUUUACAUUGUCUCACAGUACCGUGUGUGUGUGUUACAUUAAUGCACGUGCACGCGGGAAAGAAAGAGAGGAAACAAAACGCUUGACGGAAACGAGAGGAGGAAAAAAAACACGGUCACGGAACCUCGGUGAGGAAGAGGAGCACACACUGAUGUGAAGAAGGAAUGCAAAAGAACUCGGGUAAGAAAGCAAGCAGGCGCGUGCACGUGUGUGUGUGUCUGUCCUGUUAGCACUGCAGCUUGCUGCAGCCAUUUGCAGCUGCGACAUCAUAUAGGAUAUAUACAUAUGCGCGCGCGCACACACACACACACACACACACUCUUUCAACUUCCCUUCUGACAUAUUUAUAUUCAGUGUUUAAUCCUAAUAAAGUACAGCUCUCUCUUACUGAGAUGAAAAUGUGCUUUUGUAAUUCACUGAUUUUAAAUCACGACAAUUAUUCUGGGGAGAAAGAAAAGAUUCUUCCUAUUUCCAGUAAAGAGCAAUAAUCAUAUUCUAAUUCUAAUAAUCAUUAUAUUCUAAUGAUCAUAUUCUAUAAUCAUAUUCUAAUUCUAAUAAUCAUUAUAUUCCAGUAAUUCUACAGAUUCCCUGAGCUGCAGGUGAAUUAUAAUGAUCUAAAGCUUAAUCUAAGAUCUAGUUUAAUAUUCAGAUAUUUCCCUCAUUAGCUACAGAAAUCUGUUUAUUGACUAUUAGUUUCAGUGAUUUAUUUAUUUCUACAAACAGAGCAGAAAGUGUUUACGGUGUGAUUACAUCUGAAUCCGAAACGGUUUUUACGUGGAAACCUUUCCUUACAUUUCCACUCACACAGUACAGAUUCCUUUCUAAUAUGAAUAUUCAAAUAUUCAGAAAAUUAUGCAAAUAUGCAAGCACCAUCUUAGUGAUUGAUUGGUUGAUUGAUUAGGAGAGUGUUUUUAUUUCCACAAACACAAAUCAGGAACGUACACUGUGUGAAAUUGUGACGCGUAUAUGCAUGGUUGACCUUUUUUAUAUUUACGCUUUAUAUUUGAUCAAAAGCGCUUGUCGUUAUUUUUGAUCAGACCUGCAGGGUAAAUCACUCAGUAAUAACUGGAAUAAAUAAACUGUUAUGAGCGCACGAUCAGGAAGCUGAUAAACAUUUGAACAGUCGUUAAUGACGGCCGUUACAUUUAACUCAACUCUUGAUUGUUAUUGUGAUUUAUUAUUAAACUUAUAAACAUAGAAAUGAAUCACUAAAAUGUAAACAGUAGCACAAAUACUUAAUAAUAAACCGUUAAUAGCUGAACGGACCUA
ensembl:lncRNA